AUUUAUUUGUGAUAUUCCUGUAUCAUUUAUAUAGACUUAUUUGUCCUUUUUUUCUUCUGAGAAAGAGAGCCUGUGACCAAUGGGCUUUUCUGCCUAGGAGAUGAUGAGGGCAGUUUUGUCACUGGGUCACAAGUCUCUUUAAGAACGCCUAAUUAUUAGCCAAUGCCUAGAUAUAUUCCUCCAUGCUAAUUGUGGAUGUAGAGGAUGGAUAAGAUGAAUGUGUAAGUUUUCUCAUCUGUUGUUACCUAUUUUCUUACAAUUUUACUUGCUUCUUUUCUUCUUUUUCUUACUAUUUCUGAGAUGAUGUCUCAUGCUGUAGCUCAGACUGGUCUGAUUCUUACUGUGUAGCCCAUGAUGGUCUAAACUCAGUGCAGUCCUACUUUAGCCUCCCAAACUCUGGAUUGUAGACAUGAGCAUAAGCCAGUGCCUGACUUUUCUUAUACUUAAAUUAGAUUUUCAGUGUUUAGUUUUCCAUCUUAAAUUAGAAAUAUGCCACAUUGCUAUCACUUUCUCCCAAUAUGUGGUUAAAUUUGGUGGCAUAAUUAAAUGACACUAUAGAAAAAUUAAAAGAAACCAUGACUUAGACUAUUUCUCAUGCACCUUUAUAAUAAAGCAGAUUGUGCUGUGGCCCAGCACAGCUGCAGGAACUCUUUAGUCACAUAGGUCCUUAUGUGAAAAGUAUGGAGCGGUGCUAGGCAUUCUUGCUUGUUGCUUUACGUUCCUAAAGCUUAUUUUAGAGGUACCAACAAACAAAACAAGCAAAUAAAACUUAAUGUGUUAGUGAUACGUUCUAAAGAAAAAAGAUAGUACACUAGAAGAAGUUAUGUCACAUGAGUUCCAGCUACUGAGAGGAUUGUGAAGACCGAAAGAGGUUGAUGGUAGAUGAAAACCAUAUGAUUUUAUAUAUACUUAAUCCUGUGUUUUGUAGUAGGGUCAUAGAUUUUUGCUAAAUUAAAGUGUAUCUCUGCUUAAAUGAUGACCUUUUGGAAGUUGCAAGUUUUUUUUCAUUUUUUAAAAUUUUUUAAAAAUUUGCAAAUAGCAGAUGGGAUGGAUCCUUAAGUUAGGACAGUCUCUUGAUGGCCUUUCCUUCAGUCUCUGUUCCACUCUUUGUCCCUGUAUUUCCUUUUGACAGGAAUAAUUCUGGAUUAAUGGUUUUUUUUUGUUUUUUUUUUAAUAUUUUUUAUUACAUAUUUUCCUCAAUUACAUUUCCAAUGCUAUCCCCAAAGUCCCCCCCACUCCCCCCCACUUCCCUACCCACCCAUUCCCAUUUUUUUGGCCCUGGCAUUCCCCUGUACUGGGGCAUAUACAGUUUGCGUGUCCAAUGGGCCUCUCUUUCCAGUGAUGGCCGACUAGGCCAUCUUUUGAUACAUACGCAGCUAGAGUCAAGAGCUCCGGGGUACUGGUUAGUUCAUAAUGUUUUUGAGGUGGGUGGGUGGCCCCAUCCCUCAACUGGGGGCCAUGCCUAUCCACUGGUUUUUCAGCUAAUGUCCUCCCUGUUGGGUCCUGGAAACCUCUUGGGUCUCUGGGUCUUUCUAGUGGCUACCACCAGUUUCCCCUCCUGGAUCCAUCCCAUCUGCUGAUACCAAACCCAGACACUAUUGCUGAUGCCAAGAAUGACUUAACUGACAGGAGCCUGAUAGAGCUGUCCCCUGAGAGGGUACCAAUACAGAUGUGGAGGUACACAGCCAAACACUGGCCUGAGCGCAGGGAACCCAAUGGGGAAGUUAGGGCAAGGACUAUAGGAGCUGAAGGGGUUUUCAGCCCUAUAGGAAUAACAACAGUAUCAACCAACCAGACCCCACAAAGCUCCCAGGGACUAAACCACCAACCAAAGAAUACACAGGAAGUGCGCAUGGCUCUAGCUGCAUAUGUAGCAGAUGAUUGCUUUAUCUGGCAACAUUGGGAGGAGAGCCCCUUAGUCCUUUGGAGACUUGAUGACCCGGGAUAGGGGAAUGCUAGGCCGCUGAGGCAGGAAUGGGUGGCUGGGUGGAUGUGGGAGCACCCUCAUAGAAGCAGCUGGGAGGGAGGAGGGGAUGGGGGCUUGUGGAAGGGAACUAGGAAGGGGGAUAACAUUUUAAAUGUAAAUAAAUAAAAUAACCAAUACAUCCAAAAAUGCUAAUAAGCAUAAUACAUACACCAAAAUUCACCAUAUCGAGCCUAUGCACUUCAGUGAAUUUCUAUACAGUUAGAUAAUUGUUCUUUCACUAUUGAAUAUAUUUUUGUGUAUUUAUUUACCACC
rnacentral:lncRNA from 1 species